AUUCCAGAUGGUGUGUGGUCCUCCCACACACCUCCGGCAGCAAGCGAAGGUGUCUUUGACGCCCGUGGUAUAGUCCGAUGGCUAUACCACGCUCUUUUUUU
rfam:Enterovibrio coralii strain CAIM 912 contig00043, whole genome shotgun sequence.